rnacentral:rRNA from 1 species
GAUGAACGCUGGCGGCGUGCCUAAUACAUGCAAGUCGAGCGAACGGACGAGAAGCUUGCUUUUCUGAUGUUAGCGGCGGACGGGUGAGUAACACGUGGAUAACCUACCUAUAAGACUGGGAUAACUUCGGGAAACCGGAGCUAAUACCGGAUAAUAUUUUGAACCGCAUGGUUCAAAAGUGAAAGACGGUCUUGCUGUCACUUAUAGAUGGAUCCGCGCUGCAUUAGCUAGUUGGUAAGGUAACGGCUUACCAAGGCAACGAUGCAUAGCCGACACGAGAGGGUGAUAGGCCACACUGGAAUCGAGACACGAUCGCGACUCUUACGGGAGGCACCAGUAGGGAAUCUUCCACAAUGGGCGAAAGCCCAACGGAGCAAAGCCGCGUGAAUGAUGAAGGUGUUCGGAUCGUAAAACUCUGUUAUUAGGGAAGAACAUAUGUGUAAGUAACUGUGCACAUCUUGACGGUACCUAAUCAGAAAGCCCCGGCUAACUCCGUG